rnacentral:rRNA from 1 species
AUGUCCGUCCGCUCUCCCAGCAGCACCAGAGUACCAUCCACCACCGGCAUGUCCGCGCCAGAUCCGAUCGACGAUCCGGCCCCCGAGCCGCCGCCGGCGAUGGACGCCGCGCUCCCGGCCGCCGUCGUCGCCACCAUCCUCUCCCGCCUCGACGUCCGCUCCCUCCUCCUCGCCUCCGCCGUCUGCCGCUGCUUCCGCUCCUGCGCCUCCCACGCCCUCUCCUUCCUCCCCGCCUUCCACCUCCUCGAGGUGGUGCUGACGCACAACCUGCUCCGCCCGCUGCUGCCGCGCAACCCGGCCCUGCGGAGCCUCCGGCUGGACGCCGCGCGGCUCGACGACGACGCCGUCGACUGCCUCGCCCGCCCCGGCCUGCACGAGCUCACCCUCCGCAACUGCAACAACAUCAGCGGCCGCCUGCUCCGCGAGCUCAGCGCCACCUGCCCGGAUCUCAGGGUGCUGUCUCUGAACUCACUUGCUGAUCGGAGGGGCUUGGCCAUGACAUUCUCUGAUCUGAAGGCGUUGCUCGAUGGAUGUUCCAGUUUGGAGACUCUCCGCUUGGCAUUUGAUCUCUCAAAGUUCGAUAACCCCAGUUUCAGCCAUGUGUGGUCAUCUGCUUCUGAAGGCCUGUCCUCUCUUGAAAUGGGUUUUAUUCCAUUGCAAAUGUUACUUGCACUUCUGGCUGUGGCUAUUGAGUCGCGACAACGCAUUGGUUAUGUCAAGGCACCUGUCUUUUUUCCUAGCCUUCAGAAGUUGCGCCUCACAGUUGAGUUCAUCACCGACCAUUUGAUUGGGUCCAUAUCAACAGCACUUCCAUUAUUGACACAUCUGGACCUUCAGGAUUCACCAAUUAUGGAACCUGAAUCUGCAACUGCAACAGAUCUCACAGAUGCUGGCCUUCAGCAGAUCAAUCCGAAGGGUAAGUUGAAGCAUUUAUCUCUAAUUAGAAGCCAGGAGUUCAUAUACACGUCUUUCCGCCAUGUAAAUGACCUGGGAAUUCUGCUAAUGUCCGAGAAGUGCACAAAUCUGGAGAGUAUCUGUCUUGGUGGUUUCUCCCGUGUAACGGACACCGGGUUUAGGGCUAUCAUACACUCUUGUCCAGGUCUUCAUAAGCUUAAGGUGACUAAUGGAAGCCAUCUCACUGAUCUUGUUUUCCAUGACAUUGUUGCCACCUCCCUUUGCCUAACACAUGUGAGUCUGAGAUGGUGUACUCUACUAACUGAUGCUGGGAUUGAGAGGCUGUCAUUCAACAAGGGUCUCAAUGUUUUGGAUCUUAAAGAUUGCAAGAGUCUGGGUGAUGAAGCUGUAAGAGCUCUGAGCUGCCUUCCCAGGCUGCGGAAAUUGGUGUUGGAUGGAACCAUGAUCACUAAUCAAGCAAUGGAGUAUCUGGGCGUUGGAGUAUGCCCGCUAGCUUCAUUAUCUCUGAGGGGCUGCUAUAAGCUAACAAAUGAUUGCAUACCCUUGCUGUUUGCUGGUUCUGUUAAAGAGAGCCUACAUGCAUUGGAUCUCUCAAGAAUCCCAAGUCUCACCGACGACGCUAUCAUGGUGAUAGUGCGGACCCGAACUCCUCUUACUGAGCUGCGGCUGCGAGAGAAUCCAGAAAUAGGGGAUGCUUCUGUCAAGGCUCUUGCAUCCAUGCAAUUCAAGGGGGUAACUUGCGGCAGCACCUUGCAGCUGCUGGAUCUCUACGACUGCGGUGGGAUCACAUUACUUGCAAUGAAGUGGUUUAAGAAACCACUCUUCCCAAGACUGCGAUGGCUCGGGCUAAAAGGCAGCUUGAACAGGAUCAUGGUCGACGCCCUGGUUCUAACCCGCCCUUUCUUGCGUCUAGCAUGUGGCAGCGAGGAACUGGGGACACCAUACCGGGACACAUCCGGCGAGUGGUGUCGGCACGAGGACGAUGAUUCCGAAGAUCUUGAGCCCUGGCACUUGGACGGUGAGGCAGUAUCUGAUGCCGAAACCGUCAACGAGGAGUAA